rnacentral:misc_RNA from 1 species
GAUGAAGAACGCAGCGAAAUGCGAUACUUGGUGUGAAUUGCAGAAUCCCGUGAACCAUCGAGUCUUUGAACGCAAGUUGCGCCCGAAGCCAUUAGGCCGAGGGCACGCCUGCCUGGGCGUCACACGUCGUUGCCCCCCCAUCUACUCCUUCGGGAUUGCGGGGUGCGGAUGAUGGCCUCCCGUGCGCCUCGUCGCGCGGUUGGCAUAAAUGCCAAGUCCUCGGCGACGCACGCCACGACAAUCGGUGGUUGCGAAACCUCGGUUGCCCGUCGUGUGCGGUCGUCGCGCAUCGAGGGCUCGAAAAAAUUGCCGGGCUCCGGCUCGGCUUUCAACGCGACCCCAGGUCAGGCGGGGUUACCCGCUGAAUUUAAGCAUAUCAAUAAGCGGAGGA